AUUGAACGCUGGCGGCAGGCCUAACACAUGCAAGUCGAGCGGAUGAGUGGAGCUUGCUCCAUGAUUCAGCGGCGGACGGGUGAGUAAUGCCUAGGAAUCUGCCUGGUAGUGGGGGACAACGUUUCGAAAGGAACGCUAAUACCGCAUACGUCCUACGGGAGAAAGCAGGGGACCUUCGGGCCUUGCGCUAUCAGAUGAGCCUAGGUCGGAUUAGCUAGUUGGUGAGGUAAAGGCUCACCAAGGCGACGAUCCGUAACUGGUCUGAGAGGAUGAUCAGUCACACUGGAACUGAGACACGGUCCAGACUCCUACGGGAGGCAGCAGUGGGGAAUAUUGGACAAUGGGCGAAAGCCUGAUCCAGCCAUGCCGCGUGUGUGAAGAAGGUCUCCGGAUUGUAAAGCACUUUAAGUUGGGAGGAAGGGCAGUAAGUUAAUACCUUGCUGUUUUGACGUUACCGACAGAAUAAGCACCGGCUAACUUCGUGCCAGCCGCCGCGGUAA
rnacentral:rRNA from 1 species